rnacentral:sRNA from 1 species
GCCAGGCACAGUGGAUUUGCCUGUAAUCCCAGCAAUUUGGGAGGCUGAGGCAGGAGGCUCUCAGGUUCAAAGCCAACCUCAGCAAUUUAGCAAGGCCUUAAGCAAUUUGGCAAGAUCCUGUCUCUA